GCAAUUAGUCGGACGGUCGCGCUUUAGUAUCAUUAUGAUAUUAAAUCGAGGAAAGUCCGGGCUCCGUGGGUAGAUCGCCAGGUAAUGCCUGGGCAGGAGAGGAGUGAUCCUCUGUUGACGGACAGUGCCACAGAAAACAGACCGCCACUCGAUUUUCGAGGGGUAAGGGUGAAAAGGUGGGGUAAGAGCCCACCGCGUUCAUGGCGACAUGGACGGCACGGUAAACCCCGGUUGGAGCAAGGCCAAGUAAGCGGCGAGAGUACCCACCUCGACCAAGACGCCGCGGGUAGGCUGCUAGAGGGUGUGAGUGAUUGCACUCCGAGAGAAAUGACCGUCACGGUGGUUCACUCCACCGGACAGAACCCGGCUUACAGACUGGUUGCAUGA
rnacentral:RNase_P_RNA from 1 species